rnacentral:rRNA from 1 species
UCGGACUGGAGUCUGCAACCCGACUCCACGAAGUUGGAUUCGCUAGUAAUCGCGCAUCAGCCAUGGCGCGGUGAAUACGUUCCCGGGCCUUGUACACACCGCCCGUCAAGCCAUGGGAGCCGGGGGCACUUGAAGUACGCCGCCGCGAGGAGCGUCCUAGAGUGAAACUGGUGACUGGGGCUAAGUCGUAACAAGGUAAC